AUUUGAUGGUGUGGGCAACUAGCACACAGUUGUUUGAAACGCUCCCAAUAUUCGUAAAGAGUCUCUCCAUUUGCCUGUCUGAUUCCACAUAUCUCUUUUCUGAUAUU